rnacentral:rRNA from 1 species
CAGUAGCCACGGGAAUACGUAGGUGGCAAGCGUUGUCCGGAAUUAUUGGGCGUAAAGCGCGCGCAGGCGGAUCAGUCAGUCUGUCUUAAAAGUUCGGGGCUUAACCCCGUGAUGGGAUGGAAACUGCUGAUCUAGAGUAUCGGAGAGGAAAGUGGAAUUCCUAGUGUAGCGGUGAAAUGCGUAGAUAUUAGGAAGAACACCAGUGGCGAAGGCGACUUUCUGGACGAAAACUGACGCUGAGGCGCGAAAGCCAGGGGAGCGAACGGGAUUAGAUACCCCUGUAGUCCCUGUCUCUUAUACA